rnacentral:rRNA from 1 species
GAUGAACGCUAGCGGCAGGCUUAAUACAUGCAAGUCGAGGGGCAGCAUGGUGUAGCAAUACACUGAUGGCGACCGGCAAACGGGUGCGGAACACGUACAGAACCUUCCUUCGAGCGGGGAAUAGCCCAGAGAAAUUUGGAUUAAUACCCCAUAGUAUAGCGGAGAGGCAUCUCUCUGUUAUUAAAGAUUUAUCACUUGAAGAUGGCUGUGCGGCUGAUUAGGUAGUUGGCGGGGUAACGGCCCACCAAGCCUGCGAUCAGUAACUGGUGUGAGAGCACGACCAGUCACACGGGCACUGAGACAGGGCCCGACUCCUACGGGAGGCAGCAGUAAGGAAUAUUGGUCAAUGGACGAAAGUCUGAACCAGCCAUGCCGCGUGGAGGAUGAAGGUCCUCUGGAUUGUAAACUUCUUUUAUAUGGG